UCCGGUUUGUUUCCGGCAGUCUCUCUAGAUUGUCAACUAAAGACAAGGGUUGCGCUCGUUGCGGGACUUAACCCAACAUCUCACGACACGAGCUGACGACAGCCAUGCAACAUCUGUCUAUCCGUCCGUAGAGGGACCGCUUUCACGGUCUUGCGAAUAGAUGUCAAGCCCAGGUAAGGUUCUUCGCGUUGCAUCGAAUUAAACCACACGCUCCGCUGCUUGUGCGGGGCCCCGUCAAUUCCUUUGAGUUUUAGUCUUGCGACCGUACUCCCCAGGCGGGCCACUUAAUGCGUUAGCUUCGGCACGGAAGGGGUCAACACCCCCCACACCUAGUGGCCAUCGUUUACUGCUAGGACUAC
rnacentral:misc_RNA from 1 species